UAAACUAAGUGACAGAUGAGACUUAGUAGUUUUGAGCAAGACUAAUGGAGCGAGACUAGAACCUCCUUGGCCAGCUAACUUCUUUCUUUCCUUCCCUAUUCCAUUCCUCUGCUCUUCUUUGCCUUGCUAUUGCUGCCCUCCAAAUAAUAGCAGCAGCAAGGUCCCUGGAAAACAGAUUUAAAAAGAGGAGCAGGACAUUUUUAUUUGAUGCUUGCUGUGCCAAGUUUCAUUAAGCUGUUUUGCUGGGGUUUCCGUUUUUCCCUCUGUGAUUUUGGUGUAAAUUUAUUACGCUUCCAACAUGUGGGCCAAUGCUUCUUUUCAGCAUAAUGCUAAUUGAUUACAGAGACCAGAGCUGGAACUUGGACAAGACAGAGCUGCAAAUGGAACACCAGACAAGCCUGAGAUGAAGAUCGUUUGUUUUACAUUCUUCUUACCACAUACAAAAGGGAACACACAGAAGAAAGAUGAGUAUUAUUUGUUUCAAACACUACCACGAAACAUUUUCAUAAAGUAUAUAGUAGAUAUUAGGAAGUUAGGUGCUUUGGAAUGCUAAGCCUAGGGAUUUGUCACCAAAGAAACUCACAUGGAAAGCACCUGACAGAUGAAAUCAGGAAAUGGCUAAAUAAAAUGAGUGGAUCACAGUGGUUUUCUCGGUGGCCACACAGCGAAGGUUAAGAAACCACAGAAUUGGGAAUUCUUGGGCUUGACUCUUGAUUGUGAAACAGUGGCAAGUCCAGGUAGCCUGUUAGUGUCUUACCCGCCCCACCUCCUUACCAGGGCUAAUGAGCAUCAUAUACAAUGAUGAAUGGGAAAUUGUCUUGAAAACUGAAACUUAGGUACUUUUAAAGAGGCUGUUGUUACUCAUUAAUUCUAGUUCAUAAUAAAGAUAAUUUAAAUGAGGCUUGUUUCUCCUUUGCAAGUGGAAUCUUUCCUCAGUUAUGAUAAUACUAUUGAUAAUAUUUAUUUAUGUAUUUUAAAGAUUUUAUUUUUUUGAGUAACCUCUACACUCAACGUGGGGCUCCACUCACAGCCCCAAGAUGGAGAGUUGCACACCCCACUGACCGAGUCAGUAACAAUUUAGCCUCCAUCAGAGUGCCUUUCUAGGAGCUUUGGGAUCCAGUACAGUAUGCCACAGGAUCUGGGAAGAGUCUUGCCCAUCCAUGCACAGGCAACACAGCUUAAGGCCAAGAUCUUCUUGGCCUGUGAUCUUUCCUUUGGAAGAAAAGGAGUGUUGUGAGUGAGCAUCCGGUUUCCCCAGCGGUGUGGGACCCUGCCAAAGAGGCUCAUUUCUCUCUCACCCUAUCCAGACUGGUGAGGUCUAAUCUCAGGAUCGUGAGAGGAAGCCCCGUGUCAAGCUCCAGCCUGCCUAAGAUUCUCUCUCUGUCUCCCUUACCCUUCCCUGCUAACCCUAUGCUCCCUUGUUCUCUCCUUAAAAAAACAAAAAAACAAAAAAAACUAAAAGCACUGGGCUUGGUUGACAUUUGUCUCCAUUUUAUCGUGUCAAAUGCCCUGUGGGGCUCUGUGGUAGUGAUUCCUCACAUCUUGGAUCCCAAAAUGAAUAUGGCCUAUUGGAAACUAAAUAAAAUAAAUAUGAAUAGCGAAUAAAACCAACAAGCAUGGCCAGGUUCCAGCUUACUAAAAGCCUCAGCCAUGCUAAAGAUAGGGCUUUGAAGAGAUUCCACAGGAGAGAGGACAAGGAGGACAGGAGCUGUGUUGUAAGGACUUCUGCUUUGUAAGCUGGUCUUCCUCCCCCUAAACCCCUUUCAAUUGCUCAAGAAAAGUCUUGGCUUCUCACAAAAUUGCCUUUGACUGUUUUAGGAUUGCUUCAAGUUCUGCAAGAAGAAAGUGAUCCCACUAAAGAGGCUUAAAAAGUCCAAAUAAAUAUUUCAUUCAUUGUGUUAGAAUAAAAGAAAGUCUUUUUCAAACA